AGAUGCCGUCGAUAUCGACCCUGCAGCAGUACGGCCCGCUGUCCGUCCGCCUCACAUUCAGGAUGUCCAGGUCCAUCUGUCCGUCCAGGACAUCCCCCGUCAGCCGGUACCGGUCGGACACCUGCAGCACCAGAUGUUGCUGCACCAGAACGUCCCACAGCCACGACCCCAGCAGACCCGACUCAGGCCGAACCGCUUCACCGAGUACUGACAGGACAGAGAGGCCACACCACCCUCCGUGACUUUAAAAGAGGACGAAGAGGAGGGUGAUGAAGGUCUGAGGCGUUGCCGGCGACACGGCGGCCAUCCUGUAACUGAGUGUGUCCACUGUCCAGCCAGACGACAACAACAGGACAGUGUGAGUCUGUGACGGAGGUGGGAGGAGGGGCGACACACACUGUGUUGGUGUGUGGUCGUGUGUCUGUGUGCAUUUGUGUGAUUCGCUGAAUGUGUUUCCGUUGAUUCGCCAGCCAUUCAAUCUCGCAACACAAGAACGUGUGUGAAGAUAUUUUUAUAGACAGACUGCAGUUUACAGCAUUGUACAGUUACUAUAAUACAGUUUACAGUGUUAUACAGUUAAUAUAAUACAAUUUACAGUGUUAUACAGUUACUAUAAUACAGUUUACAGUGUUAUAUAGUUAAUAUAAUACAGUUUAUGGUGUUAUACAGUUAAU